rnacentral:piRNA from 1 species
GCAGUUUCCAGAUAUGAGGUUUCAAAG